CAGCAGCCGCGGGAACACGUAGGGUGCAAGCGUUAAUCGGAAUUACUGGGCGUAAAGCGCACGCAGGCGGUCUGUCAAGUCGGAUGUGAAAUCCCCGGGCUCAACCUGGGAACUACAUUCGAAACUGGCAGGCUAGAGUCUUGUAGAGGGGGGUAGAAUUCCAGGUGUAGCGGUGAAAUGCGUAGAGAUCUGGAGGAAUACCGGUGGCGAAGGCGGCCCCCUGGACAAAGACUGACGCUCAGGUGCGAAAGCGUGGGGAGCAAACAGGAUUAGAUACCCCUGUAGUCCCUGUCUCUUAUAC
rnacentral:rRNA from 1 species